rnacentral:tRNA from 1 species
AAGGUCUUAGCUUAAUUAAAGUGUUUGAGUUGCAUUCAAUUGAUAUAGAAUAAAACCCUAUAGGUCUUA